rnacentral:rRNA from 1 species
UACGUAGGGGGCUAGCGUUGUCCGGAAUCAUUGGGCGUAAAGCGCGUGUAGGCGGUCCGGUAAGUCCGCUGUGAAAGUCAGGGGCUCAACCCUCGAAUGCCGGUGGAUACUGUCGGGCUAGAGUGCGGAAGAGGCGAGUGGAAUUCCUGGUGUAGCGGUGAAAUGCGUAGAGAUCGGGGAGGAACACCUGUGGCGGAAGGCGGCCGACUGGGCCGACCCUG